CGGCCCGCGCGACGGCGGCGCGAUCGGCUGGGCCUGGGUGGCCCACGGCUCGGGCCGGUUCGACUCCGGUGGUGCCGCC
rnacentral:tRNA from 1 species